rnacentral:misc_RNA from 1 species
CCGAGUUUACAACUCCCAAACCCCUGUGAACAUACCGCGUUGCCUCGGCGGCCGCCCCGGCGGCGCGCCGAGGGUCCAAACCAUGUCUUUCAGCGAAUUCUCUGAGUCAAACACAAAUAAUCA